rfam:Spinacia oleracea cultivar SynViroflay scaffold1510.con0002.1, whole genome shotgun sequence.
GCAUAGUGAUGAUGAACUUAUAUAUAACCUACAAGUUCGUGAAGGAUAAUAACCUCCUACUCAUACUGA